rnacentral:misc_RNA from 1 species
AAAGUCGUAACAAGGUUUCCGUAGGUGAACCUGCGGAAGGAUCAUUAACACUUUUUAUUAUUUUGUUUUUUUUCUAAAACAAAAUUUAAAACCCCACAAUUUUGGAUGAAUUUAAUUUAUUUAUUUUUUAUUUUAUUUUUUUUUAUUAUAACCCUAUUAUUUGACUAACAUUUUUAUUUAAUUAUUAAAAAAUUAAAAAAACAACUCUUAACAACGGAUAUCUUGGCUCUC